rnacentral:rRNA from 1 species
CUAAUACAUGCAAGUCGAGCGAGCAGAACUAACAGAUCUACUUCGGUAGUGACGUUUCGGAAGCGAGCGGCGGAUGGGUGAGUAACACGUGGGUAACCUGCCCUUAAGUCUGGGAUACCACUUGGAAACAGGUGCUAAUACCGGAUAACAACAAGUGCUGCAUGGCACUUGCUUGAAAGGCGGCGCAAGCUGUCGCUAAAGGAUGGACCCGCGGUGCAUUAGCUAGUUGGUAAGGUAACGGCUUACCAAGGCAACGAUGCAUAGCCGAGUUGAGAGACUGAUCGGCCACAUUGGGACUGAGACACGGCCCAAACUCCUACGGGAGGCAGCAGUAGGGAAUCUUCCACAAUGGGCGAAAGCCUGAUGGAGCAACGCCGCGUGAGUGAAGAAGGUUUUCGGAUCGUAAAGCUCUGUUGUUGGUGAAGAAGGAUAGAGGUAGUAACUGACCUUUAUUUGACGGUAAUCAACCAGAAAGUCACGGCUAACUACGUGCCAGCAGCCGCGGUA